rnacentral:lncRNA from 1 species
GUUUGGUAGUGCUUGUCAGUAAUUCUAACACUUGAGACACAGAGACAGGAGGAUCAGAGUUCAGGGCCAUUCUUUGCUACACGGUGUGUUCAAGGCCAGGCUCCACUGCAUGAGAACUAACCAAAACAGACUGACAAAGUAGAAUUUUUAUCCACAUGGGGUUUCUCUGUUUAACAGUUCUGGCUAUCCUGGAACUUGCUCUGUAGAUCAGGCUGGGCUCAAACUCACAGAGAUCCACUUACCUCUGCCUCCAAGUGCUGGGAUUAAAGGUAUGUGCCACCAUGACAAACUGGCCACAAGGUGAAAAUUUUUUUUCUUGCUUUUAUUUCCUUCUUAAGACAGGAUCUUAGUAUGGAGACCAAGCUACCCUCAAAUUCACAGAGAUCUACUUGCCUCUGGCUUUGUCUCUGCCUCCCAAACCCUGGGAUUAAUGAUUUCCCCCACCCCCACCCCAUCCCCACUUUGUUUUCAUCAAGAGGCUCAACCUGAAAGUCUUAUCUGGAAAAGUUGCUUCUGCACUCCUCAGGGACUUGGUUUUUAUCUGUUCAUUGAGCCAUCCUACCCCAUCAAUUAUAAUCUAAGCAUCUAUUCUUUACAGCAUUGUGAUCAAAGCUGACCAGGUCUAUGUUCUCAUGGAGAACAUAAAUUGAUGAGAGAGAACUGUCUAUCAGUUUCAAUUAUUUCCUCAAAUUUGUAGUAUCACUGAUAAAUUCACCAUGGCUUUAAUUACAGCUUCCUACAAAGGGCAAAGAAGUAGAAGAGGGAGGAGAAGAAGAAAGUGGAAGAGGAGGAGGAGGAGGAAGAGGAAGAGGAAGAGGAGGAACAAACACUAAUUAUACAUAUUUGUUAGAUGUUAAUAUUAAAAUAUCUCUCCAUAUGAGCUGGAUGUGAUAGUGCAUUCCCUAAUCCCAGCACUUGGGAAACAGGGGCAGGUUAAUGUAUGAGUUCAAG